rnacentral:misc_RNA from 1 species
AAAAUGCGAUACGUAAUGCGAAUUGCAGAAUUCAGUGAAUCAUCAAAUCUUUGAACGCAAAUUGCGCUCUCGGGAUAGGCCUGGGAGCACGCCUCUUUGAGUAUCGACUCCAACACAACUCGAAAGCGGUGCUUGUGACUAUGUCAUGAGUCUGCUGACGGAUAUUGAGCAUUCUGGCUUCGCAUGAAGCUAGACGCUUUAAAUUUAGCGAGUGACAUGAAUCCUAUCUGGGGAUUACAUCUGGCUCUAGUGACGAGGAUAACUUCACAUUCAUUUGUGAACCCUUCCAUCGUGACUAUUGAGGCAGUUGAAGUUCUUGGGCAGUUUUCAAUAUGCUCACGGCCCUCUUAAGUCUCAUGCAAGUGAGGCUAAAGAAAUACUUUGAACUAGAUCUCAAAUG